rnacentral:rRNA from 1 species
CCUACGGGUGGCAGCAGUGAGGAAUAUUGGUCAAUGGGCGGAAGCCUGAACCAGCCAAGUAGCGUGCAGGAUGACGGCCCUACGGGUUGUAAACUGCUUUUAUACGGGAAUAACGCGCCUUACGCGUAGGGCUUUGCAUGUACCGUAUGAAUAAGGACCGGCUAAUUCCGUGCCAGCAGCCGCGGUAAUACGGAAGGUCCGGGCGUUAUCCGGAUUUAUUGGGUUUAAAGGGAGCGUAGGCCGCAUGUCAAGCGUGAUGUGAAAUGUCCGGGCUCAACCCGGGCCUUGCAGCGCGAACUGGCGUGCGUGAGUGCGCGGGAAGCAGGCGGAAUGCGUGGUGUAGCGGUGAAAUGCUUAGAUAUGACGCAGAACCCCGAUUGCGAAGGCAGCUUGCUGCAGUGGAACUGACGCUGAUGCUCGAAAGCGCGGGUAUCGAACAGGAUUAGAUACCCGAGUAGUC